AUUGAACGCUGGCGGCAGGCUUAACACAUGCAAGUCGAGCGGGGUGAUGGUGCUUGCACUAUCACUUGGCGGCGGACGGGUGAGUAAUGCUUAGGAAUCUGCCUAUUAGUGGGGGACAACAUCUCGAAAGGGAUGCUAAUACCGCAUACGUCCUACGGGAGAAAGCAGGGGAUCACUUGUGACCUUGCGCUAAUAGAUGAGCCUAAGUCGGAUUAGCUAGUUGGUGGGGUAAAGGCCUACCAAGGCGACGAUCUAUAGCGGGUCUGAGAGGAUGAUCCGCCCAACUAGGACUGAGUCACAGCCCAGACGCCGACGGGAGGCAGCAGUGGGGAAUAUUGGACAAUGGGGGCAACCCUGAUCCAGCCAUGCCGCGUGAGUGAAGAAGGCCUUCGGGUUGUAAAGCUCUUUCGGCCGGGAAGAAAUCGUAUGGGCUACUACCCUGUGCGGAUGACGGUACCGGCAUAAGAAGCACCGGCUAACUACGUGCCAGCCGCCGCCGUAA
rnacentral:rRNA from 1 species